AUUGAACGCUGGCGGCAUGCCUUACACAUGCAAGUCGAACGGCAGCGGGGGAGAAGCUUGCUUUUCCUGCCGGCGAGUGGCGAACGGGUGAGUAAUACAUCGGAACGUGCCCUGUAGUGGGGGAUAACUAGCCGAAAGAUUAGCUAAUACCGCAUACGACCUGAGGGUGAAAGUGGGGGACCGCAAGGCCUCAUGCUAUAGGAGCGGCCGAUGUCUGAUUAGCUAGUUGGUGGGGUAAAGGCCUACCAAGGCGACGAUCAGUAGCUGGUCUGAGAGGACGAUCAGCCACACUGGGACUGAGAAACGGCCCAGACUCCUACGGGAGGCAGCAGUGGGGAAUUUUGGACAAUGGGCGAAAGCCUGAUCCAGCAAUGCCGCGUGUGUGAAGAAGGCCUUCGGGUUGUAAAGCACUUUUGUCCGGAAAGAAAUGGCUCUGGUUAAUACCUGGGGUCGAUGACGGUACCGGAAGAAUAAGGACCGGCUAACUACGUGCCAGCAGCCGCGGUAA
rnacentral:rRNA from 1 species